UUUAGCAACAAAUAUGAUAUAAAUACUAAAAUUGUUCAAUGUACCAGUGAAGAGUCUCCUUUUGGUAGUCCUUGUUCGGCGGCCUUUUCAUUUCUAUGUGAAGAAAAGGACAUCUCUCCACCGUUUCUCGUCAGUUAAUAGAGAUGGGAAAAAAUCAUCAAAAUAAAAGUGAUUAUUCAAUUUUCAGGUAACCAAAAAAAAAAGAAGAAAAUAAUUAAUUAUUAGAAGCGAAACAUCACGUGCACAAUAAAUAGAUUGAAAAAAAAAAAAGAUUGGUCCGUCCAAAAUCCAUCUGACAAGACUUCCAAACGAAAAUCCACUAAUUUCAUUGAUCCGUCGGAUUUAGCUUCGUCACCAAGUAUUUUGACCAACAUGUCAACUUCAAACGCUGAAACAAUUCGUUCAGUUUCCCCAAAACAAAUGUUUUCAAGCCAGCUCAGAGACAAAAAUAUCUUGUCCAACAGUGGACCCUAACUGCUUCUUUCCGACCAGUAACCACACAAACAAAGAUUUGAUCCUUCAAAAACCCAGCGGAAGUAACUGCCUGGAAACAACCCAAAACUUUGGUCGGCGAUUCUUUUCUUUCUCAAUUCUUAAUUUUUGCAGCGAUUCAAUAAUAAAUGGCUCAUAAACAUUCCACGUUCAAAUCAACGACAGUUAAUGUCGUUGAAGAAAAAGGCGAACCACCUCCCCCCACCGCCUCUGAUAAUUUUUUUUAUCGUAACAGUUUGUCGGUUUAAACCCUUCAAAACCCCCCUUCCACCACAUUUUUUUCACAUUAGAUUCUUCUUAAACUGAAACCCAGAGCUCUUUUUGAAGCAUUUUUCUGUAUCUCCGAAAAUCAAAUGAACCCAGAGGACCAAAAACACUCUUCGAAUUCCCCUCCAAACCCACCCCAAACGUUGCAUUUCCCUUCUCCAAUAAUGGAAUUGGAAACAUUUUCAUCAGCACCAGCUGGAACGGAGUUUAUUGGAGUGCCUCAACCUUUGGAAAUUCUUCAGGGGAAUCCAGUACCGCCUUUUUUGUCGAAAACGUUUGAUUUGGUCGACGACACGUCGUUGGAUCCGAUCAUCUCUUGGGGUUCGACGGGAGAGAGCUUUGUGGUAUGGGACCCGCUCGAAUUCUCCAGGCUGAUACUUCCUCGGAAUUUCAAGCACAAUAAUUUCUCCAGCUUUGUUCGUCAGCUUAAUACUUAUGGAUUUCGCAAAGUUGAUACUGAUAAAUGGGAAUUUGCUAAUGAAGCUUUUCAGCGAGGGAAGAGGCAUCUUUUGAAGAACAUUCAGAGGCGUAAGUCAGCUCAAUCACAGCAGGUUAGUGACUAUUUUGGACCUUCUACUGAAUUGGGGAGGUCUGGAUUGGAUGGUGAAAUAGAGAGGUUGAGGAAGGAGAAGAGCAGGUUGAUGCAGGAAGUAGUGGAACUGCAGCAGGAGCACCGGGGUACAGCUCGCCAUGUGGAAGUAGUGAAUCAGAGGCUUCAAUCAGCAGAACAAAGGCAGAAGCAAAUGGUUUCAUUCUUAGGGAAGUUAUUUCAGAAUCCUGCUUUCUUAUCACGCCUUAGACAAAAGAAGGAAAAGGGAGAAAUUGGUUCUCCAACAAUAAGGAGGAAGUUUGUCAGGCACCAGCAGCUUGAACCGGCCAAUUCAGAAUCACCCGUUGAAGGGCAGAUUGUGAAGUACAGACCUGAAUGGACAAACCUUGCUAUAUCAUCUUCAGUCCCAGAUUUAAAUCCAAUUUCUGUUGAACAAUCUCCAGAUUUCCUACCUGAAGUUGUAGCUGGAAUUGGUUUAUGUGAAGAAGACUUGCCAUUUCAAGUUGAUGAUGAAAUAGUUGUAUCUGAUGAGUUGGGGGUUGCUCGUGGAUAUCUCAGAACCCCAGAGCUCCUGAGAGAAGGUAAAUCAGGCUUGGGAAGCAAAGAACUCCAUUUCGAAGGGAAGAACGUAAUGGGCUCAGACCAAGUGGUUAAUCCAGGGAAUUUUAUCUCUUUCCCAGAGGAUUUGGUGAAGCAGAAAAGCACACCAGAGUUCUCAUCUCCUAUUGGUGAAACCCUUGCUAAACUAGAGGAUAUAUGGAGCAUGGGUUUUGAUGCUACUUCUGGUAUGUCUAGUUCUAGCAAUGAGUUAUGGGGUAAUCUUGAAAGAUAUGAAAUUCCGGAGUUGGGAGUGACUUGUGGGUUAUCUGAUGUAUGGGAUCUGGAUUUCUUGCAAACAGCACAAGAUUCAGUCACUGAUAAAUGGCCAGCUGAGGAAUCCCCUUUCUAUAAUUAUGAUACUGAAUGUCAAGCUGGCCAGCCAGAAGAUAAUAGGUCUAAGAAGACAGAUCCAUAAUGGUUCAUUUGCUUUUGGCAGAUGGUGCCUUUGUGGAUCGUAGAAAUCUUCAGUUACUAGGAUGAAGGGUCGAUUGGACAAUUGAUUUAUGAGCAUAUUAAUUGAAUGCCAGAUUUUUCCCCCUAAUAUUAGUAUCAGUAGAGGUUUCUGUUCUUUUUUUCUUUUCAAUUUUGAUUGUGAAGCUUGGUAGCUUCAAUUAUAAGCUAACUCUUCCAAUCAAUCUUUUUCUUCUGUUGCUGUGCUAUAUGAUGGUUUGCACUUGAAAUUGCAGGUUUUCUACUUACAGAUACGUUUGAGUUAUAAAAUUGCAGGUUGAGUCGAAGUAUUGUACAUCCAUUUGGCUUGGCGCCAUAUUCUUUAUCCAUCUGGCAGGACUGGCAUGUGAAAUAUCAGGGUUUGCCUCAUUUGUUGGCAUGUAAGCUCUUGGAUAAUAUCCUCAGUAACCUUGUAUUUGUAUUUGUGUACUUGGCAUUUAAUCUAAAUAAGACUUGAACAUUUAAGCAAAGAAUUAAGCAACCUCAGGAAUUAGUGUAAUUCUCAAAGAAAUUUGAUGGAUGGAUUUUCCUGUAUGCUGAGGUGACAUUGUGGUUGGCAGAUUGUAAAUGUUAGGAAGGUUUUAAUUUGUUUAUCACUUUGAUUUGGUCUAAUCUAUAUGUUGAAUCGCAUGCUUCCAUUGAUAUAAUCUCUCCCUGCAAAAAGUUGAAGCAAAACUUCCUUUCAAAUGCUUCGGCUCAUCUGCAUUCUCAAAUCCUUCAACAAACACAAUCAAAGGCUUUGAUCCCACCCAUGGAGCUACCUUCUUGUUAUAAGUGAAUGAUUCAAUGGAUUUAAAAUUUUCAACCCUAACCUCUACUUGAUCAUAAAUAUGGUGAUGAUCCUACAUCCGACAUAGGACAAGAUUAACGGCUCGCUUCCUUGAGUGUCAAUCAUACUGCAAAAAAAACGGCACAUAAUCAACAAAUAUGAUUGAAAAACUGAUAGCAUAGAAUGUAAGUGAGAAUCUAAAAAAUUUUGCUACACAAAAGCAACCGAAGCAUUUCACCUACCAUAAUUAUACUAUAAUUAAUCAAUCAUAAUUUAAAAUUAUAUAAACUCUUAUCAAAAUUCUUUAUUGUAAUGGACAAUUGUGGCAUUAAUAAUAACAAGGUGAUAACACUCCCGCAUUAGACAAGGGCUAUACUAAAUAGUAAAACUGUAACUCUCUCGAGAAUUCGACACCUCUGCCCAAUUGGGUUUUUGGGCCAGACCCGAUUAAUGAGUUCAUUUGGGUUUGGAUUUAC